CCCGCGCCUCAGUCUUUUAGUUGGAUAGCUCCCGUGCGCCCGAGUUUUCUUUCCCCCUCCCCAUUUUCUUCUCUCCCUGCCUCUGCUCCUCUCGACUUGCGCAGAAAACCGCUGUCGUCGGAGUUUCCGCCCGCCGCGCGAAGCCGCCGUCUCGAGUCGUUUUCGCUGCGAUUUGGCGCCGUGGUGAGCUUCAUCUUCCUUCCCGCUCCCUCCCCGUCCUGUUGCCGAGCAAAUCGUGGCCCGGAGUCCCAGUUCCGCGAGCUCCGACGGGACGUUCAUGGCGUCGCCGUGAACCUUCUCGGAAACCGCCUCCUCGACCGCGUUUAUGGGUUGGAAUGGACUCGCAUCGCUCUCCUCUUUCUCCUAGUUCAAACGGAAUCGAAAACCAUGCACAGUAGGUCCCUAUUCUCUUGCUCCGGCGAGCUUCCUUGCGGCCGGCCAUGGUGGCCACCGUGUUCUUGCCGGAGCUGGCCUGAGCGCCUUCCCCUUCCUCUCUCUCUCUUUUUUAUUUUUUUCUUUUAAUCCAGCGCGUUCAACUAUGAUCCAACGGCCUACAAUGCCCCGUACCCCUUCGAGGGCAUUUUUGUUAAAGAGCCCCCCAGGAAUCCUAUUUUUGCGCGCAGUCCUCGGCAAGAGGAAUUUCCAAGAUUUAAUUCAUUUAUUUAAAUUCGUUUAGACUCUGCUUUAUUUACAGAAUUGCCACCGCAUUAUUUUAGCUAUAAAAUCGUCGUUUGAACUCCGAAUCGAUCCGUUCAAGUUGUGUUAGUUUCGUAAUUUUGUAAGCUUCGCGUUGGUACCACUGUUGUUUAGGUUUACCACUGUUAGAUUUCCUAGUUAAUUACAAGUCCAUAGAUUGUUGUUGAAAUCCUGUUAAAAGCGUAACUUUCGCGUCGUAAGUCCCUUUUUUGUGAAUUUCGCGUUGACGUGAUCGUAGCAGCACGUAGAUGAUUUUGGAAAACUUUUAUUUAAUUUAUUUACUGCUGGUGUACUGUUCUAACUUUAGGAAUUGUUCUCUUGCAUGUUUGUCUUGGUAUGCAUGAUGAUUGUGAUGUGUUGGUCGAGCCCAGACGGUGAGGAGUAUUUCGGGAGUCCGGAGCUCUUUGGGGACCAGCAAGACCAGCAGGAGUACGUGAACCAAGCCAAGUAUAGCAUGGGCCUACCUUGUUGUCCUACUCAUUUUUAAGCAUUUCACCCUGCAUGUGUAUAAUAUUGUAAACUAUAAGGACAUCCUAGCUAUUGAUGACAAUUACCUUGUUCCCGAGGGUUUUUAUUGCAUAUGGAUAGAAGUGCUAGUGCUCUAACUCCAAUUAUAUAAGAUCUGAAAUCAGUGAUGGAACCAUGGUUAAUUAAUUAAACAUGAUUAUGAUAAAUGGAACAUAGGGCUAUGGUACAAAUGAUUGUUGGUCAUGUUGUCCUAGACCCUCCGUAAGGACUUAUCUGUUGGCAAAAGCUGGGACUUACAGUGCAACCGGGAGAGUCACAUGGCUCUGACUUUAGCUCAGUAAUAGGAUCUUUUCUAACUCGUUAGAGGUUACCCGAAAGGGCACAAGAGGGGCUUGCCACUUUGGGUGUAGUGCUGCCCCUAUUUCUAUGAGUAUAGCCGCGAUGGAAAUGUGCCAUAGAAAAGAGGGAUUUUCUACAUCUGCCUGCCAAGGAAACCUCACGGCCCUAACUGGUUAGAAUAGGCCUAUGGAAGGCUUCAUAGUGUACCCUGCCCGCUCACCUUGGUAGUGUUUGGGGGUCGACGGGCCCCGGGCAUGUGGGCAACACGACUCACAGUGAAAGUGCACAACCUCUGCAGAGUGUAAAACUGUUAUAACAGCCGUGCUCACGGUCACGAGCGGCCCGGAAAACUCACAGAAUAACUGGUUACUGAUGGCUUUAUGGUACAUGAUGAUGUAUAAUUAUGCUUUAAUGUGACUUAUUGACUUACUAUAGUUCUAAUAACUGAUCAUAUGAGAUAUUUGGGAGCUUAAGCAUAAACUAAAAUAAUUAAUGAUAAAACACUGACCUACUAAAAGCUGAUGCAGUGAACCUAGUUUAGCCUGUUUGAGCCUCAUAAAUCCUCAUGCUAUGCUUGUGGAGUACGAGAUGUACUCACGCUUGUAUAUUUCUUUUCUUUGGAUAAAAAUCCCGGAUGGUUAACAGAUGGUGGUAGCUAUGAGGACUACCCGGAGGACUUUUAGGCUUGUGCUUCACCAGUCGACCUUCCCUGUGUGAGGGCCAUGAGAUAGUUAUCUUAGAUUAUUAUCUUUAUAUUUCCGCUGUUAUGCCAGACUUUGUGAUGUAAUAAAUACGUUUGUUAUAAACACUGCGAUGAUGGUAUUUAAUUUGUGACUUAUGUGUGUGAUUGAUCUCUGGGCGCACAUAAGUUUAUGCAUUCAAUUUCUUUCUUAAAAUUGGGUGUGACAAAUUGGUAUCAAAGCCGUGUUAAUUGUAGGACGCAAGUCUAGGUAGCAAUGGUCGAUAUAGUAUCUUUGUUUUAUUUUAUUUAAUGCUUUCUACCUCACUUUUUGUUAUUUUAUAAAAUUUAUUAUGCUUAUAUCACUUAUUCUAUUGCCAAAAUGUUGAUCUAAUCUUAAAAUAAAAUUUAUAGAUGCCGCCUGUCACGAGGGCUUGCCGUGCCAGCACCAGGAGCUACAUCUCUCAGUUGACGCCCUGUGGGGGUAUAAACCCCUAUACCCUUACGGCUAGACUUGGGCCAGGAGGCUUGGCCCAUUACGAGACAACCUCAAGGCUUGAUCCGACAGCUUGGAGUUUCGCGCAAGGAAACAAGACGUGGAGAUCAAGUAGGAUUCUAGUCGGAUAGAAUAGGAAUUGAUAUCAAACUAUCUAUGGCAAUUGUAACCGACUAGGAUUAGUUUCCAGAUCUGUAACCCUGCCCUCCGGACUAUAUAAGGAGGGGCAAGGGACCCCCCUAGGACACAUUAUUUCUCUCAACACAAAUCAAUACAAUCAGACGCAGGAUGUAGGUAUUACGCCAACUCGGCAGCCGAACCUGGAUAAAAAGCUUGUCCGUGUCUUGCGUCACCAUCGAGUUCGUAGUUUGCGCACCGUCUACCGAUAAACUACUACCGUGGGUAUACCCCAAGGUAGACUGCCGACUAGCUUUCGUCGACAGUGGCGCGCCAGGUAGGGGGUGUGCGUGCAACUUCUCCGGCGAACAAGAUGGUCACAAUCCCAGCUUCCGCGGCCGUGCCUGAAGGCCUCACGUUCACCGUCGGCCAGAUCACGUGGACGACGCGCAGCGGUGGUCUCACGACCACGGUUCCGGAAGAAACUCAGAUCCAAUCUGGGAUCACGUCGGCUCCGACCACUCGGGUAAAGGCACUGAGCGCCCGACCCUCGCUCCCGCUCUACAAGGGAAAGAAGAUCGACUGCUCGGACCUUCUCCAAGCACUUGAUCGCGCCGAUUCCAAGCUACUUGAAGCUUCCCGACUAGUAGAUGGAAUCUUGCGCCAGCCUGAUCAAGCCGCCCCAACGGAUUUUUUCAAAUCCCACCGGCCAACUCGUCUCGCUACACACGAACGGCUGGGAACGUCUCUGACGAUAACUUCAACUCCCUCAGGGCGAUCCGUCAAGCAUAAGGCUAACCCGGAGGAAGAUUAUCCCUGCAGACUGUACAACUCGGCCUCUCUCUACUCACGGCACGUCCAAUCCCUUUUCAACAAGGAGGGUUGGUUGCCAAAAAGGAACGGUCGACCUGCUCGCCACUACGUCAACAUGGUGACAAUCCGAGAACUACGGGAUGGCCAGGCCUCCAGCACAAAUUCGAGCACCGGUUUCGUCCCCACCGAAGUUAUAAACUCCGAAGACGAGGACUACGACCUGGAUUUGCCUUCACAUCCUCCGGGUUUCUCCCGUUUCCCAGUGUUCCCCCCCGGCGAGGAGACAUUGUUUUCAACGUCAGCGCCGAUGAGCCGGUCGUUGAUGGAGAAACGGACGAGCAGAGGCAACUCCGCGAGCAGCGUAACGCCGAUCGCGCCCGACGACGCGCAGAUGAGGAACGACAAAUUCCGCCGCAUAAUCUCAGCGACGCUUUUGACAUGGUCGGGGACCAGCCAGUCUACAAAACGCCAAGCGCCAACGUGGCUGUCGCCAUGGCUAAUCUAGAUCGGCUCCCUGAUACCCUCGUGUGCCAGGGGGUCCAAACCAGUGUCCGGGCGCACCUGAUCGCCGCGAUGGGACAGACAGCCACUCUUCUCAAGAGAGUCCAGGCCGUCUCUUAUACGGAAGCCACCUCCGACCAGACUCAUCGUAGCCGGACCUCACCGCAGCCCAGCAGGCAUCACCGCAGCCGUUCCCCCGACAACCAUCGAAAAAAUUCACGGCGUGACGAUGGCGGUCGGGAUGCUGACGGUCACCACGAGCAGAAUCGCAGACGCGGUCAAGAAGUAAACCAGCACAGGGAUCUUCGAUAUAACAUCCCUCCCAAAGAUGCCCGGGACCGCAUCAACAGGCGUGCCACGGAGAGAGCAGUCCACGAAAACCUGCGCCGUAUCGAGUACGAUGCAACGCACGGCCCCCCGGGCCUGAGACAGUUCUCCUCGCACCUACGCCAGGUCGUGUGGCCCCGCAAUUUCAAGCUCGAGAAACUUAAAAAAUACGACGGCAAGGAAAAUCCAGAGAACUGGAUCACUCUCUAUGAAAUCGCCGUCCGAUCAGCAGCGGGAGAUGAGCAUGUCAUGGCCAACUACUUCCCAGUAGUCCUCGACCAGGCUGGUCAUCAGUGGCUUCUUGGCUUGCCCGAGGACUCCUUCGACUCUUGGGAAGAGCUACGACAGGCUUUUAUCGACAACUUCAUCACCACAUGCGAGCAGCCAGGAAACAAGUAUGACCUCGAAAGGAUAAGGGACAGGAAAAAUGAACCUCUACGCGAUUACAUCCGACGAUUCUCGGAUAUGCGCCUUAAGAUCCCGAAGAUUUCCCACGACGAGGCCAUCUCUGCCUUCAUCAAGGGCCUGCGUUUCCAUGAAGCACUGAGGAACAAGCUGUUGCGCAAAAGGCCAACAACGAUGGCGGAACUCCUCGCCACGGCUAAAAAUUACGCCGAUGCCGACGACGCAGAGAAACUAAUCCGGGACGAUGCGAGAGGUCCCGACCAGCCUCCUCGGUGAGAUGACGGUCGCGGUCGUUUCGACAACAGGAACCACCACUGCCCCGACAACCGUGAUCACAGAGAAGGUUGGGAUCGACGGUGCGACAAUCGCGACGAUUUCAGAGGAAAGCGCCCCCGCGACCACGACCACGAAGUGAAUACGGUCAAGCGUCCCAACGGGCGGCGGGACUACCAAGAAGACUACAACAAAACGUUGAAGGGACCGUGCCAACUGCAUCCAAAGUCUAAUCAUACCAUGGAAGAGUGCCGCGUCCUCAAAAACAUCUAUACGCGGCGGGCCGCCCAAGACGACUCUGCCAAGAAAAAUGGUACGCGAGACGGGCACGACCACGAAGACGAGGACGAGGACCAAGAUAGGGACCCUCGACACCAAUAUGUCAGCCCCACUGACGUGGUUCACUCCAUCUUCGGGGGCAAGGUCUCCAUCGAAUCUAAGCGAGAAAGAAAGCUAUUAAAGAGAGCCUGCCUCAACAUAGACAGCACGGACGGACUGAUCGCAGACCUAAAAUUUCCCCCAUGGUCGCACAGGGAGAUCUCCUUCAGCAGGAAGGAUCAGUGGGCCGCUAUCCCAGAGCCAGGUCGUUUCCCUCUAAUCCUGGACCCUUGCAUCAACAGCAUCAGAUUCGAGCGCGUGCUCAGGGACGGAGGAAGCUCCAUUGACAUCCUCUUCCGCAACAGCCUGCCCGCUCUCAAGAUAUCUCCUGCACAACUAAAACCCUACGAUGCUCAAUUCUGGGGAGUUUUGCCAGGUCAGAGUUCAGUGCCUCUCGGACAGAUAACAUUGCCUGUCCAAUUCGGCACACCCGACCACUUUCGGACAGAGUUCGUCAACUUUGUGGUCGCUGACUUCGAUGGGACCUACCACGCUAUACUGGGCCGACCAUCGCUGACAAAGUUCAUGGCGGUCCCGCACUACUCAUACCUGGUCCUUAAAAUGCCUACGGAGAAGGGUGUACUAACCGUCAGAGGCAAUGUCUACACCGCAUAUACUUGCGAAGAGGAAAGCUUCAAGAUCACCGAGGCAAUCGACCUCUCAAUUCGCAUGGCAGAAACAGCAACCCAAGCCGCGCAGCUGCCUCCCGACCAGCUCCGAUUACCCAAGCAGGAGACCGCCAGGAAGAAUUCAAAGUCCAAGGAGUAUAAAGAAGUACAACUGGUCGACGGCAGCCCCGAGAAGACGGCCCUCAUCGGGGCCAAUCUGGACUCCAAAUAGGAAGACGCGCUCGUCAGGUUUCUAAGGGACAACGUAAGCAUUUUCGCAUGGAAACCCGCAGACAUGCCCGGCGUCCCACGAAACCUGAUCAAGCACUCCUUAAAUGUCUCGAAGACCGCAAGACCCAUCAAGCAAAAGCUGCGACGGUUCGCUCGUGACAAAAAGGAGGCUAUUAGGAUAGAAAUAACACAGCUUCUAGCAGCCGGAUUCAUAAAAGAAGUGUAUCAUCCCGAUUGGCUCGCCAAUCCGGUUCUUGUACGCAAAAAGAAUAAUGAAUGGAGAAUGUGUGUUGAUUACACUGAUCUCAAUAAACACUGUCCUAAAGAUCCUUUUAGUCUCCCUCGCAUCGACGAGGUGGUCGACUCGACGGCCGGAUGCGAACUCCUCUCUUUUCUAGACUGCUACUCUGGUUAUCACCAGAUCUCGCUAAAGGAAGACGAUCAGAUCAAAACAUCUUUCAUUACUCCUUUCGGCGCAUAUUGCUACACGACCAUGUCAUUCGGACUCAAAAAUGCCAGAGCCACUUAUCAACGGGCCAUACAGCAAUGCCUCCACGACGAGAUUCGUGACGACCUCGUCGAGGCCUAUGUAGAUGACGUCGUCGUCAAAACAAGGGAUGCAAGCACCCUAAUUGACAACUUAGACCGAACCUUUAAGGCGCUUAAUAGAUACAAGUGGAAGCUUAAUCCCAAAAAGUGCAUCUUCGGUGUUCCUUCUGGUCUACUGCUCGGCAACGUUGUCAGUCGCGACGGCAUACGGCCAAAUCCUUCAAAAGUAAAAGCAGUACUCGACAUGCGACCACCUAAAAACGUCAAGGAUAUCCAGAAGCUCACCGGAUGUAUGGCCGCUCUCAGCCGCUUCAUUUCAAGACUAGGAGAAAAAGGCCUCCCUUUCUUCAAACUCUUGAAGGCAUCGGAAAAAUUUUCUUGGACAGAGGAAGCCGACGCCGCGUUCACCCAGCUUAAGACUUUCCUCACUUCACUGCCUGUUCUUACAGCGCCUCAGCCCAACGAAGACCUACUCCUCUACAUUGCUGCAACCGACAGGGUUGUUUCCACGGCAAUAGUGGUCGAGCGAGAUGAGCCAGGUCAUGUCUACAAGGUCCAGAGACCCGUUUACUUCAUAAUCGAAGUCCUAAACGAGUCCAAGGCCAGGUAUCCACAAAUACAGAAGCUCACGCCAUUCUAAUAACAUCAAGAAAGCUGAAGCACUACUUCGACGGCCAUCGAGUCUUGGUAACCACCAGUUUCCCUCUUGGGGACAUUCUGCGCAAUAAAGACGCCAACGGCAGAAUCGUAAAAUGGGCGAUGGAAUUAUGCCCAUUUUCCCUGGAAUUCCAGAGCCGCACCAUAGUCAAGUCCCAGGCCCUGGUCGAUUUCAUUGCUGAAUGGACGGAUCUCAACGAGCCUCCCGUUCCCGACGUCUCCGACCACUGGUCAAUGUUCUUUGACGGAUCCUUGAACAUCAAUGGCGUCGGCGCCGGGAUACUGUUCGUAUCGCCUAACAAGGACAAACUGCGUUACGUCCUUAGGAUCCUUUUUCCGGCAUCAAACAAUGUCGCCGAAUACGAAGCAUGCCUGCACGGCAUAAGGCUAGCCGUUGAGCUGGGAGUCAAACGCCUCUAUGUCUAUGGCGACUCUGCUUUAGUUAUCAACCAGCUCAACAAGGAGUGGGACGCAACCCACGAGAAGAUGGAUCUCUACUGCAAAGAAAUUCGCAAAUGGGAAACCAACUUCUACGGCAUAGAGUACAUCCACGUGGUCCGGGAUAAGAACCAGGCAGCAGAUGCGUUGUCAAAGUUAGGGUCAUCUCGGGCCCAGAUCCCGUGGGGCAUUUUCGUCCAGGACAUCCAUGAGCCAAGUGUAGGCACAGGCCUGGUCGAAAAGCAACUUACUGAGGCAAUGCUCAUAGACGAUACCACUCCGACAACCAGUGGCCGUGAUUGGCGCACCCAGUUCAUAAGAUAUAUAUCGGACGGGUCAGGCUUUCAGGACAAAACAGAGAAUGAGCGCCUCAUUCGACGAUCAAAGAAUUACAUACUGGUGGACGGCAAACUUAUGCGAAAAAAUGCAAGUUCUGAAGUACUGCUCAAAUGCAUAUCCCAAGACGAUGGCAUCAAGCUCCUAGAGGACAUACACGCCGGAUCCUGCGGCAAUCAUGCUGCAUCCAGAACGCUGGUCGGGAAAGCCUUCCGAGCAGGUUUUUAUUGGCCAACCGCGGUCAACGACGCAGAAAAACUGGUCCGACACUGCGAGGGAUGUCAGUUCUUCGCUAAAAGGACCCACGUACCUGCUCAUAAGAUUCAAACCAUCCCGUCAUCCUAGCCUUUUGCCUGCUGGGGGCUCGACAUGAUCGGGCCAUUUAAACCGGCCCCUGACAACUUCAAGUUCGUUUUCGUGUUAAUCGACAAGUUCUCAAAGUGGAUUGAAUACAUGCCACUGGUCAAAGCAACCUCCGAAAAGGCUGUGGAGUUCUUUAAUCAAAUCAUACACAGAUUCGGGAUCACAAAGAGUAUAAUCACCAACUUGGGUACUCAGUUCACUGGCACCACAUUUUGGGACUUCUGCGAUGACAGGGGCAUAGUCAUAAAAUACGUGUCAGUAGCGCACCCACGGGCAAAUGGUCAGGUCGAGCAUGCGAACGGAAUGAUCAUUGACGCCCUCAAGAAAAGGCUGUACACCGAGAACGACAGAGCACCCGGUCGAUGGAUGAAAGAGUUACCGGCUGUGGUCUGGGGCCUCCGAACUCAGACUAGUCGGAACACGGGAGUGUCACCCUAUUUCAUGGUUUAUGGUACCGAGGCAGUCCUGCCGUCUGACAUAACCUUCGGUUCUCCUAGGAUUGAAAACUUUGACCAGUCAACAGUCGACAACGCCCGAGAGCUCGAAAUCAACUGUAUGGAGGAAAAGCGUCUAAAUUCCUGUCUCCGGACAGCAAAGUAUCUUGCGGCAGUCAGGCGGUACCAUAACAGGAACGUCGAGGACCGUUCUUUCGUGGUCGGCGAUCUGGUACUCAGGUGGAAAAAAAGCCAGGAAGGAAUGCACAAGCUAUCACCCCCUGGGAGGGGCCCUUUGUGGUCGCCGAAGUCACACGACCCACAUCCUACAGAUUGGCGUACCCAGACGGAACACGCGUGCCUAACUCUUGGCACAUAGACAAACUGCGCCGAUUUUAUCCAUAAGUUCUAGUAACUUUUGCUUGUAAGUCUCUUAUAGUUGGCAAUAAUAAAAGUUUUUUCUUUUUUGGCUAUACUUUGUUUACACGUAGAGCUUUCGAUGAAGAACAACAUUGUCCUCUGCAAAGGAAAAUCUUAACGACCAUGAAUCAAACACAGUGACACGUCACUCAGAUAACUUCACGGCGCUCAAAAUAGUAGUCAUGACAAAAGCAAACUUUAUUACAAACUUUACAUACAAAGUUUACAAUAAACACCCUGACAGGCGGACACUAGUCUACUCCUACAGACUAUUCUACUGGCCUUCUGCUCGGGCUGAUCACCCGACUGGCCUUGCUGCCCGGACGAAGGGGUCGGGGCCACCGGCGCCUGGCUGGUCGAGACCGCAGGCGUCGACCGCCCAUCUCCCGCAAUAGACGCGCCCGACAGCUCCCUGGCGACCUGUCUGAACCCGGCUGGUCGGGGGGUGUGGCCGUCCCGCAUAGAUUGAUGUCGCCGAUCACCAUCGACGACAAGUCCAGCAAACCACCUCGAAGCUCGUCUGCCUCCUGCGGACCGACCUCCUUGGGAUACCCCUUCUCCAGCCUGGUCAAGUCGACCAGGGGGUAGUGGGCGCGCACCAUGCAAAGCAUAUGCGCGCCAGCAAACUCCCCUGCGUCCUUCACGAACUGCUGAAGCCAGUCCCACGCCCGUUGCGCCUUUUCAACUGGUGUCAAUCUCGGCGCGCGGGGCUGGCUCUCCGGAAGCUCGGGGCUGAUCAAGUCCAGGACCGGGGAUACUUCUUUCCAGAUCUUGCAACAAUUGACCUUCCAGGAGUCCCGAUCUUUGACCAGCUCGUCCAGGUGCUUCUUGGCGUUCACCUUGAGCACUGCAAAUCAAGCAAGAUGUUAUUUUCAACAUAUCAAAAAGAGCGAUCAGGGGCAGAUAACGGGGCGACGCGUAUUACCAGACAACUCCCGGUCCCUUCGACUCAACUCCUCUCCUGCUCGGCGCCCAGCCUCCAGCGCACCGGCAAGCUCUUGGCUGAGCUGCUCUUUCUCCAGUCGAAGGCGUGCGACCUCCUCCUCCAAACCUGCAUGAAUAGUCCUCUGGUCAGCGAAGUCAACCAACACGGCUACAAACAGCUGCCUCGGAGUGCGAGACUAACCUUCUCGCUGCCGAAACUGGUCGGCCAAGCGUCGGGUAAGCUCGAGACGGUGCACUUCCUGAGCGUUCAUCUCGGAUACCUUCUCUCCAACUUCUGACCGAAGCCGGUCCACCUCCACGGCCAGGGCCUUGUUCUCGGCCACGAUGCCUUCUAUUUGGUCGAAGCACCGUUUCCGGUACUUCGCCGUUUUCAUUGCGCCCUACAAAACAAAUAUAUGUCGAUCAAGCAAGACAACGCACAAAAUGUCCAGCAGUGCAAGCACUUAUCUUGACUUCAUCCACGAGACGUUUGGCCGCGCGCUCUACUCUGGUGGCCUCUUCUGUCUCAGUGAGCUCCUCGUGCCCGAUAAAGUGGUCCCCGCGUUGGCGCCACACAUAUACGUGUUGGCGGCCAUCACGGGGAAGACCUUCAACCUCCUCCACCUCGUCGUCGGAGGCCGCCUGGGUUUCCUCGCCCGCUGCAUCACCCCCGGUGUUGGCUGCCGGCAUUACCGGCCCCUGGACCAGGCCCGGGAGCCUGCAGUCGAAGUGGCUCCUGCCCGGGGCGGUUUUGGGACCUCCCUCCCUUCGACGGGGGGAGGGGUCGGGGCUCUGCCCUCCCUUUCUGUGGCCUUACUCGGGGGAGGCAUCCCCGUAGCCUCCCUCAACCCUUGUCGGGCUGCUCGCCGUAGUCUGUGCCGCGGCCGGGAGCUCUUCGGUGUUCUUAGGCACAGCUGCAGUCGCAGGCUGCUCCGCGGUCUGCGGCGCCGCGUCCUCAGCAGCGCAAGUAGGCUCGACCACCCCCUGGCCGGCGGGGUGGUCGGGGUUGACAUCCGACGCCGCGCUAAAAGAACAAAGUACUAUCUUAAAAAAAACUCUUCAAAAUAUGUAAGUCGAACACUUACAGGUCUGAUCGACGGUGGGUCGCGGUGAACCUCCUCCUUGCCCGGCCGGUCGGCACCUGCUCCCCCGUCUCGACAACGCGCGGAGCCGAAGGGUCGCUGGCCACCCGAUCAGUAGUGGUCGGUGCACUGUCCGGACGGCUACGAGGCCGUCGGACUAGCGACGGUGCGGCCUCCUCCUCAUCGUCGUCGUCGUCGGUGAUUCGGACGAGCCGACGGCGCUUCGGCGCUUGGCUGCUCUCCGCUGGCAGCGUCGGCGCAGGCGAAGGAUCCGCCACCAUUGGCCUUGUCCCCGCCACUCUAUCCUCGGUGGUCGGGACAGGGCGGGCCUGGUCCUCCUCACUGCUGGUGUAAUGAGUACACCGAGCAGCGUCUUCCUCCGGCGGAUCUUCUCCCGCAGGAUUCGCCAUUCCAGGUGCCAGUGACACGUACACCGUGCACCGGUCAACAUCUCCGAUCUGCAAAAGUAACAAAGAUAAGUCAGCAGCAAACAAUAACUGAUGCUAAAGCGAAAUAAUCAGUGACAUACCUUAGGUGCUGGUCGCCCUAACUUGAAGGCUUGCACCCGAUCGCUACCACGGACGAAGCCUCCGUCUGCGAAGUUGAACAGCUCGUUCAACAGCUGCUGUACCUCCGCCUUCUCCAAGACCUCAGGACGCAUCCUGGUCGGGUCCACGCUUCCGGCAUACUCGUACGCCGAGUGCACCCUCUUCUGACAGGGCAUCACCCGACGGCACACAAAGUUGCUGACCACGCCUAGCCGGUCCAAGCGCGACCAGUCGAUCAGCUUCAUCAGGUCUGCCACUUGACCGUCGAACUCCGGGCGAUCGGUCCAGCUUACCCUCUUCUCGGGGAUGUACCCCACGUCGCAGAACGUGGAGCUGCCCGGUUCUUCCCUGAUGUAGAACCACUUCCUGUACCAUUCAGUCAGGGAAGUGUUCCAUGGACAGUGUAGAUAACAGUUCUUCAUCCCGUCACGAAGGUUGAGGUAUACUCCACCUGCAACUUUGGAGCCUCCAACCGCUCCCUUCUUUCUCAAACAAAAAAGGUAGCGAAAGAGAUCGAAGUGCGGUUCUAUGCCAACAUAGGCCUCGCACAAAUGGAUAAAAGUAGAAAUAAGAAGGAUUGAGUUCGGGUGCAGAUUGCAAAUCCCGAUCUCGAAAUACAAAAGCAGACCCUGAAGAAAAGGAUGAACCGGCACCCCAAAACCCCUCUUGAGGAAAUCCUCGAACACAAUGAUCUCACCGGCGUGGGGGUCGGGGUAGCUCUCCCCUUCCGGCGCCCUCCAGCCGCCGAGCUUCGGGCUGUGCAGUAGCCCCAUGUCGACGAGGUCACCGAGGGACUUCGCAGUGCUGCGGGAUUUUUUCCAUUCCUUGGCCAUCAGCUCGGCCCUCUUCUUGGACGCGCUCUUCGCCAUUGGAGACACGGAAGUGGUUUCGAGCUAGAAGGGCACAGGUGGUUGAAGAAGGUGUGAGCGGCAAGCUUGAAGGCAAUGGUAGGGUAGGCAAUGAGGGGUCAAUGCCAGGAUUUUAUAAAACACAACUCCACCCCUUCCACUUCCCGCAUUCUCGGGAAGUGGGCGGGCCAUUCGGCGGGCACGGCGUUUCGGUUCUCAACGAUUAUCGACAAUUAAUGAGGCGGAGUUUUCGUACAAAUUGAUGGUUUCCUUUUCUCAAACCGCGCAAAGGGCGGCUGUACAGUUGCCAGGCGCAACUUUUCAUGCAUCCAUCUGACAUCCCGUCAGGAGGUCUCGUCACGUCAACUUUUUUGUGGAAAAUUUUUUUCAAAACAAGCAGACAAAAAUGGUAGAUAUUCAACAAUCCGAGGACUGCACCGACCACCGAGCACUUGAUGCUCGGGGACUGGUCGCCCAGUCUAUCAACUCGGAAUUUUAAAGACUGCACCGACCACCGAGCACUUGAUGCUCGGGGACUGGUCGCCCAGUCUAUCAACUCGGAAUUUCAAAGACCGCACCGACCACCGAGCACUUGGUGCUCGGGGACUGGUCGCCCAGCCCAUCACCUCGGAAUCUCAAGGAGCGCACCGACCAACGAGCAUUUGGUGCUCGGGGACUGGUCAUCAAAUUUGCUGGGACUGGACCGGCCACCGAGCGCUUGAUGCUCGGGGACUGGUCGCUUAGUUUAUUAAGUUUGGAAAUCAGCAGGUUGAACUGACCAUCGACCAUUGUACACCCGGGGACUGGUUGACCAGCUCGUCAAAUUGAAAAUUCUAUGGUAAAUGAGCAUGAGAUGCUCGGGGACUGGAUAAUUUUGAUUUUUUAGACCUUGCUACAAGGUUCAUACUUCACCUUCUAGCAAGCUCGGGGACUACAUCGGUACGAUGCAUCUAGCAAUGCAUCUCACAUUUAAAAUAGAUUUGAAGAUUCCUCUUUGGACCCUGGCACGACGUGACUACGUCACCUGCUACCAGGUUCGGGGACUAAAUGGGCACACUUCACCUUGCGGUGAACUUGCUUGCCUUUUUUAUGGAUCGUACCUUCCACGAAAGUAAAGUGGGCACACUUCACCAAAAAAGAAAUAUUUUUUCUCAAGAGCACCAUGCAUUCUUCGAACAAUUGGCUUCUUCUAUGAUGAUGUUGACCAAAUAUGUUUAGAUUUGGUCAAAAUACCGUCGCAAUUGUCUGGGCAAUUUUCAUGCUGAUUGAAGAUGUCAAAGUUUCAUUGGUCGAAGAAGCUCAAGAUGGCGUGCUACUUCACAAUACAUGGUGCUCGGGGACUAGUUGUGGGGGUAUAAACCCCUAUACCCUUACGGCUAGACUUGGGCCAGGAGGCUUGGCCCAUUACGAGACAACCUCAAGGCUUGAUCCGACAGCUUGGAGUUUCGCGCAAGGAAACAAGACGUGGAGAUCAAGCAGGAUUCUAGUCGGAUAGAAUAGGAAUUGAUAUCGAACUAUCUAUGGCAAUUGUAACCGACUAGGAUUAGUUUCCAGAUCUGUAACCCUGCCCUCCGGACUAUAUAAGGAGGGGCAAGGGACCCCCCUAGGACACAUUAUUUCUCUCAACACAAAUCAAUACAAUCAGACGCAGGACGUAGGUAUUACGCCAACUCGGCGGCCGAACCUGGAUAAAAAGCUUGUCCGUGUCUUGCGUCACCAUCGAGUUCGUAGUUUGCGCACCGUCUACCGAUAAACUACUACCGUGGGUAUACCCCAAGGUAGACUGCCGACUAGCUUUCGUCGACACGCCCCAGUCGUCCCAGCCAGUGGUGGACAUCUCCGACGACGAGACUGUCCCUAUGGAGGAAGAGGACCCAGAGAUGAUGACAGAGGUGGAUGAUGAUGAUGAAAACGGGAUGGACUCUCCUGUAGCAGCUGCACCUGUUCCACCCACUGCACCCACGCCACCAGCUGUUCUAGUGGCACCUGCUGCACCUACACCACCAGCUUCACCAGUUGCACCUGCUGCUCCUGCUGUACCAGAGGUGGUGUCUCCAGAUGGUCUUGAGGAAGAAAACCCAGGAUGGACUACCACCAUCCACUACAAGUAUCCUUCAAUGACAGCCUACUUCCACAACUUGCUUAGGGAGAUGUUGGAUACUUAUUAUGCUGAUAAGGAGAUUGGCAUUAGGUACUGCUGUGCAGAGUACACACACCCCUAUGAGGCCACAUACUGGAGGUCGGAUCUUACCAUCACAGUGGGGAAUGAGGCACAUGACAGCUAUAUGGUAGAGAGCAUCCAUGGUCACGUUGCUAGGCGAGCUGAGGCACAGGACAGCAUGGAGGACGCCGCCCAGAUGGCUUACACUCACUACCAUGGCCUUCGCUAUGAGGCCAUGAGAGCAGACCAGUACAAGUUCCUCCCUCGCCAUGAAUCUACUAUUGGUACUUGGUCUAUUGAGAACCCGCAGGAGGUUGACACGCCAUUGGAUGCAACUGUUAGGCAUAUGCAUGUCCUGCAGAUGGCCAAAUGAUGAUCUAUAGGAGGAGCUACGUGACCAGCAGUGGCGGACGCAGGGGGGCUGCAGCCCCCCUUGGGCUGGAAAUUUUUUAAUAGCUUUUCAUUUUAGGUAAAGCCCAGCCCAAACACAAGUUUAUUUUCUCCAAACGUGAGCCCACCACAUCAUGCCACCAGCCGCAUGGCAUGGCAAUUCAGAUUCGUCUCGCACUCUUGCGAUAGGUUCGCGACUCCUCGUUCUCUGCCGCCGCCCGCCGCAAGACAGAACUCUCGCGGUUCGACUUCACGCCCAUCGACUCACGGCCUCGCGUAUCGGCGUCGUCCCUCCUGGCAUCUGCUCGACUGCUCCGUUCUCCAGCUGCCGGCGAACGACGACGGCGCCAGCCCCAGACCCAGCGGCAGCAAGAGUCCAGGAUCGGUGAUCCCCUUUUUUUAGUUUUCUUUUUUCAUUAUUAUUUUUAGAAAUUCAGUCAAUGAUCCCAAUUCAAUUGGUUUUAUUUUAUAGAAUGGAAAAAUAUUAUGCUAAGAAAGAUGUCGUUGCUUCUGCCCAAGAGAGACGACUUGAUCAAAAGAGACCCCGCAUUGAGCUUGAUAUGAAUGAUAUAGUUGCUGAUCCAGGUCUUAGAAAGCCAAUUGAUGAAUUCCAUCAUGAGAUUAGGGAUGAUGCUAGGAGAGCAUAUCUACAGAUGGGUCCAUAUCAACCAAAUUGUGAGUACGAAAGAACAUUAGGCAAAACUCAAACUAGAGGUUUUGUUAAAUCAUGGUUUACUCAAUUUGAUUGGUUAGAGUACAGUCCUGCUAAGAAUGCAGUCUAUUGUUUUUAUUGCUACCUCUUUAGGCCACUAGCUGCAAGCAAGUUUGAUAAUGAUGCAUUCACUAGAGUAGGGUUUACAAAUUGGAAAAAGGGAAAGGAUUCUUUGCUCAAGCAUUGUCAAUCAAUUAAUGGCUAUCAUAGUGUAGCAAGAAAACGGUCAAUUGAUUUCAAAAAUCAAAGGCAAAGUGUAGAACAUGUGUGGGCAGUAACAACUGCAGCAGAAGAGGAGGCAUAUAAAGCUCGUUUAACUAUAAUGUUAGGCAUCGCUAGAUUUCUCCUUUUGCAAGCUCUAGCAUUUCGUGGGCAUGAUGAGUCUACAACAUCCAAAAAUAAAGGGAACUUUUUAGAGAUGCUUGAUUGGUAUAGAAAGAAGGAUCCUAAGGCUGCACUUGUGACUGGUGAGAAUGCUCCAGGGAAUAAUCAAAUGAGUUGUCCAAAAAUUCAAAAAUAUUUAGUUAGGGCUUGUGCAGAGGAGACAAGUGAAUUAAUUAAAAAUGAAAUUGGAGAUCGUUGGUUUGCAGUGCUUGUUGAUGAGGCUCGUGAUGUAUCAAUUAAGGAACAAAUGGCUGUGGUUGUGAGGUAUAUAUAUAUCAUAUAUUUGUGUAUUUUAUUUGUUUUGUUUUGAUGUUUUCAAUUGACCAUUUGCCAAUUUUUUGUUUAAUAGGUUUGUCAAUGAUAAAGGAAGUGUGAUUGAGCGGUUCCUUGGCUUGCAACAUGUUUCUGACACCACAUCAUCUUCACUGAAGGAAGCAUUGGUUUCUAUGCUUGCAAGAUAUGGGUUGUCUAUAGCCAAGGUUAGAGGACAAGGUUAUGAUGGAGCUUCAAAUAUGAGAGGGCAGUUUCAUGGGUUGCAAAGGCUGGUAUUGAAUGAAAACCCCUUUGCUUUUUACAUCCACUGUUUUGCUCAUCAAUUGCAGCUUGUGGUAGUUGCUGUAGCUAGAUGUUGUGCUUCAACGGAUGAUUUUUUCAAUUAUGUCACUUCAGUUGUCAAUACUGUUAGUGUUUCUUGCAAGUGAAAAGAUCAACUUCUGCAGAAACAACAUGAUAUUCUUGUUGAGAAAUUAGAUAGUGGUGAAAUAUCUCCUGGGAGAGGGAAAAACCAAGAAACUAGUCUUGCUAGGCCUGGUGAUACACGAUGGGGUACACAUCAUAAAACAUUAGUACGUCUUCUGCUCAUGUGGGAAUCUGUGCUUGAGGUGUUAGAGAAUAUUAGUGAUGAUGGAACUGAUGGGGAAAAGAAAACUAUAGCAUCUGGAUUGAUAGAAAAAAUGGAGUCAUUUCAAUUUAUGUUCAUAUUGCAUCUUAUGAUUAGAGUAUUGGGGAUAACUCAAGACCUAUCACAAUGUUUGCAAAUGAAAAAUCAAAACAUUGUUCGUGCAAUAGGAUUGAUUGGUUCUGUGAUGAGAAAUAUAAAUGCCAUGAGGGAAAAUGGUUGGAAUGAUCUUUUUCAGGAGGUAAAAGUCUUUGCUGUAAAACAAAAGAUAGACAUUCCUAAUAUGGAAGAUAUGAUACCAGUCAGAGGCCGUUCAAAAUGUCGUGGAGCCAAAUUAGUGACCUACUACCAUCAUUUUCAUCAUGGGAUUUUCAUUGUUGUCCUUGAUCAAGUAAUUUGUGAGUUGAGCAAUAGAUUUCCAAAAAGAUCAACUCAACUAUUGAGAUGUGUUGCUUGUCUUGAUCCGACAAAUGAAUUUGCCAACUUUGAGAUAGAGAAGUUAGUUGAGCUUGCAAAGAUUUAUUAUGCUGACUUUAGUGAUUAUGAAUGUGAGAAGCUAAGAACUGAGCUUGAAAAUUUCAUUGAUGAAGUCCAGCAUGAUGAAGAAUUCUGCACUUGUAUUGAUCUUGGUAGCCUUGCCGAGAAGAUGGUUCAAACUGAUAGACAUACAUAUUUCCCUUUGGUGUAUCGCCUCAUUGAGCUUGCAUUGAUAUUACCAGUGGCAACAGCAACAGUUGAAAGAGCCUUCUCUGCUAUGAAUAUUAUCAAGACUGAUAGGAGGAAUAAAAUGAAUGAUGAUUGGAUGAAUAAUAGCAUGUUAUGCUAUAUUGAGCGGGAUUUGUUUGCAUCCAUCGAAGAUGAUAAAAUUUUGACGCGCUUUCAAGGCUUAAGAAAUCAUAAGAUGAACUUUCCACGCAAGGUCCCAAGGUGCGUAUUAUUGUAGUACUUUUCUUCUUGCUUGUUAUCUUGAUCACUGAAGAAGUGUAUGACAUUUAAAAAUAUGUAGCAUUGGGCGUGAUGGUUCAAGUGGUGUGAAUUCUUGAAGAUGCAAGACUCCAUGUAUUUGGUAUUUUUCUGUAAUUAUUAUCUAUCUUUGCCUUUGAGCACUUUGAAUCAAUAUUGAAUUAUCAAUCUUAGCUAUAUUUAUUAUUGUACUGGGUUGAACGAGCAAAGAAAUUUUCUGCCCUAUGUUAUUUAGCCCCCCCCCCUUGGUCCGUUUCUGGGUCCGCCACUGGUGACUAGCAUGAUUCCAUAGAUCGCUUCUAGGAGAUGGUUGACAGCCUUAGAGAGUAGCUUGAGUUUCCACCGCUCUACAAGAAGAAGACCGCACCUCCUAGCAUCUCCGGCGACGCACCAUAGGCCUAGGAUGCCAUAGUUGUUUUAUUUCGUAGUCCCGUUGUGUCAGUUGAGCUUGGAGUGUUUGUGAACAAUUGAUGUGUCCGUUGAAUUUGUUUAUGUAUUUGCAUGAUUUGAAUCUUUGUAAUGACUGCUGGAAGGUUGUGGAUUUAUCUACAAACUUCUGUUAUCUUAAGUUUAAUUAUCGAAUGCUUAGUUGGGUUGGUAUAUUCUGCUGUUGCAGUGCUGUUUUUCUGGAGCAGCCUGUGAUGUUUAACUUUUAUCUCUGAAGUGGUACGUCCAAAAACUCUGAAAUUUUUGUGGAGGAAACUAGACUGAUGUAUCUCUCAUUUUCAAUUGGAACCACGUCAAAACCUGCUCGGAUCUGGGAGAUAUCCUUGUUACAAUCCGGAACUAUUGCGCAGACUAGAACACAGAACAGAUUCGCUUUAACCCUGUUUUUUAUCAAGAUAAUUUCAGAAUCUGUAAAAGUGGUCUAAAUAAAAGUUGUAACAAAUUUUAUAAUCUUUCCAAAAAUGUAUGGCACGCCUCUGUUGGAUCACAGAAACUCGAGUUAUGAGUUAAAUACUGCACUGCUGAUUUUGCAUCCUGUCCAGAACAAUUUCAGCAAAGUCUAUUUGAUAUUAUAAUCAGUUAUUAAUUAUGGAAAGACCUCUAAAAUCUUAUUCCUUUGUUGGAAACAGAUGGCUGAUGAAGGAGGAAGAGGCCGUGGUCGAGGUCGAGGCCGUGGCCGUGGACGUGGCCGUGGCGCACCGGUGGACCCGCCGCCACCACCACAGUCUGUGACAGUGGAGCAGCCCAUGUUGAUGCAAGCCCAAUUGAUGCAAACUAUGAUGGAUCACCUGGAUCACCAGCCCGCCGUCGUACCACCACCAGUCUAGGUUCGCGAUAAGAGGGGAGAGUUCAUGAAGGGACGUCCUCCUAUUUUUACACAUGCUAGUGACCCUUUAGAAUCUGAUGAUUGGUUAAGAGCUGUGGAGAAGCAGCUGAACAUUGCUCAGUGCAAUGAGAUGGAGAAGGUGUUGUAUGCCUCCGGACAACUGUAAGGGGCUGCACAGGAGUGGUGGGAGUCCUACCAAUAUGAACGCCCAAACAAUGCACCGCCUGUCACUUGGAGGGAAUUCACCGAGAGUUUCCGGUCUUACCACAUUCCAGAGGGGCUCAUCGAGCUCAAACAAGAGGAGUUUCGUGCUCUCAAGCAAGGCUCCAUGACUGUCGCCGAGUACCGUGACAAGUUCGCUCAAUUGUCACGUUACGCUCUGGGUGAAGUAGCCAAGGAUUCCGACAAGCAAUGUCAUUUCCUGAAAGGACUGUAUGAUGGCCUGCAACUGCAGUUGAUGUCCAAUGUUUACCCCAGCUUCCAGGAACUUGUGAACCACGCUAUUGUGAUUGACAAUAAGCGCAAAGAGAUGGAUGCUAAGAAGAGGAAGAUUCAGGGGCAGGCAUCUAGCAGCAACACUCGUCCGCGCGUGUUUCCUCAGCAGGGCUUUCCUCCCAGGAACCAGAGGCCCCCUAAUCAGUGGAAUCAGGGCCAGUACCCUCCGCGCAACCAAAACCAGAACCAGCAGCGUCCCAGUACCAGCAGCAGUUUGGUAAUCAACGCCCUCAGCAGCAAGCUAACCCCCAGGCACCACGCCUAGGUGUGCCCAACAAUGCUCCAGUGAAGACAGCAGUGGCAAACAACCCCAAUGCUUGCUACCGUUGUGGUGAAGUGGGUCACUAUGCCCAUCAGUGCCCGAAGAAGCAGAACCCCUUAGCCCCACAGAAUCAGAACAACAAUCAGAGGCCCAGUGCUCGACCACCCCACACUGGAAGUGUGAACCAUGUGUCUACUGAAUCAGCUCAGGAGGCACCCGAGGUCAUGCUGGGUACGUUCAGUAUCAACUCCAUCCCUGCUACUGUACUUUUUGAUUCCAAAGCUUCGCAUUCUUUCAUCUCGCAAGCUUUUGUUAGAGUACAUAGCAUAGCUUUAUGUGCCAUGAAAAACUCAAUGCUAGUGAAUUCACCGGGGGUACUAUGCCAGCGAACUAUUGGAGUCCCUCCACUAGUGUUUCUCUAAGGGGGGUAGAGUUCAAAGUAAACCCCAUUGUGCUAAGAACUUCUGGUAUUGACCUUAUCCUAGGGAUGGAUUGGAUGAAGCAACAUCGUGCAGUGAUUCAGUGCUAGGAGAAGUCUGUGGUAGUAACAUCGCCUAAAAGGGAUAGAAUUUGUGUAGAAGUGGCAGUGCGAGCACCUCCAACUGCUACCAUGAACCAGUUGACUGAUGAGGUCAAUGAGGAGAACCAAGUGGUGGAUGACUUCCCUGAUGUGUUCCCUGAUGAAUUGCCAGGUAUGCCACCUGACCGAGACAUCGAAUUCCUUAUUGAACUUUUACCUAGAACUGCACCUAUAGCUAAAAGACCUUAUAGAAUGGGAGUGAAUGAACUAGAGGAACUUAAGAAACAAAUUAAGGAGUUGUUAGAGAAGGGUUUUAUUCGUCCUAGUUCAUCACCUUGGGGAGCACCCGUUAUCUUUGUCGAUAAGAAAGAUGGUACCAGGAGAAUGUGUGUGGAUUACCGGUCACUAAAUGAAGUAACCAUAAAAAACAAGUACCCUUUGCCUAGAAUUGAUGACCUGUUUGAUCAGUUAAAAGGUGCUUGUGUGUUCUCAAAAAUAGACCUUCGAUCCGGUUAUCACCAACUGAAAAUCCGUGCCUCGGAUGUACCUAAGACAACCUUCACUACUAGGUAUGGCCUGUAUGAGUACACAGUUAUGUCUUUUGGGCUGACCAAUGCACCCGCAUAUUUCAUGUACCUCAUGAACAAGGUGUUCAUGGAGUUCUUGGAUAAGUCUGUAGUGGUGUUCAUUGAUGACAUACUCAUCUUUUCCAAAACUAAAGAGGAACAUGCGGAGCAUCUAAGGCUAGUCUUACAAAAGCUUAGAGAACAUAAGCUAUAUGCCAAAAGAAGCAAGUGUGAGUUUUGGUUAAAGGAGGUCUCCUUUCUGAGACAUGUGGUCUCUAAUGAGGGAUAGCCGUGGACCCCAGCAAGGUGCAAGAUGUGUUGAAUUGGAAACCCCCGACCAAUGUGAGUGAAAUCCGUAGCUUUCUGGGAUUGGCCGGAUAUUAUAGGAGAUUCAUUGAAGGAUUCUCUAAACUUGCUAAGCCCAUGACGGCCUUAUUAGAGAAGAGUGCUAAGUUUGUUUGGUCAGACAAAUGCCAGGCUAACUUUGAGGAGUUAAAGAAGAGGUUGACCACAGCUCCAGUGUUGACCUUACCUGACUUAAGCAAGAGCUUCUCCAUCUAUUGUGAUGCUUCUUGCUUAGGUUUAGGUUGUGUGCUCAUGCAAGAAGGAAGAGUAGUGGCCUAUGCAUCUAGGCAGUUGAGAAAACAUGAGUUGAAUUACCCUAAUCAUGAUCUGGAACUAGCCGCAGUGGUCCAUGCUUUAAAAAAUUGGAGGCAUUACUUGAUUGGUCAUAAGUGUGACAUUUACACAGACCAUAAGAGCCUAAAGUAUAUCUUCACCCAGUCGGACCUGAAUCUGAGGCAACGUCGUUGGUUAGAGUUGAUCAAGGAUUAUGACCUGGAAGUGCAUUAUCACCCUGGGAAAGCAAAUGUAGUUGCAGAUGCACUUAGUAGGAAAAGCUAUGUCAACAGACUUCAGCUGACAUUUAUUCCAGCUGAGUUGCGAGCCGAAAUAGAACACCUCAACAUAGGCUUUGUGAAUCAUACCAUGGGUCUAGAGAUAGAACCAACAUUGGAACAAGAGAUACGUAAGAGUCAGUUGGAGGAUGAGAAAUUAAAAGAGAUAGCAGAUAAUGUAGUGCUUGGAAAGGCACCAGGCUUCAGGAUAGAUGAGAAUGGUACCCUAUGGUUUGGGAAAAGGAUAUGUGUGCCUGAAGUGAAGGCUAUCCGAGACACAAUUCUACGUGAGGCGCAUGACUCUGCUUAUUCAAUACACCCUGGGAGUACCAAGAUGUAUUUGGACCUAAAGGAGAGAUAUUGGUGGUAUGGAUUGAAAAGGGAUGUAGCAGAGUAUGUUGCUUUGUGUGACACCUGUCAGAGGGUGAAAGCUGAGCACCAACGACCUACAGGGUUGUUGCAACCAAUGCAGAUACCCGAAUGGAAAUGGGAAGAAGUCGGUAUGGACUUUAUUACCGGGUUGCCACGUACUCAACGUGGGUAUGACUCGAUUUGGGUAAUAGUAGACCGACUCACUAAGGUUGCACAUUUCUUACCAGUCAAAACCAACUACAAAGGGGCAAGGUUAGCCGAGCUAUACAUGGAAAGGAUUGUGUGCUUACACAGAGUUCCAAAGAAGAUCGUGUCCAACCGAGGAACUCAGUUUACAUCGCACUUUUGGCACAAAGUACAUAGAUCCUUGGGAACUGUUGACACUUGCUAACACCACUUAGAUACUAGGUUGUCAUCCCUAGCAUGGCGCCAGAGUGUACAAAGGUAUUUAUAAAUGUAAAGGAUCUCUAGAAAAUAAUCUAUUCUAUCCGCAAGCGCACAGAUAAAACACCUCAUUGUAGCAUUUCACCAGGAUAAGUAUUCCAGGUAUCGUUAUUUAUAAUUUUGCUCAAGGGAUCUCAAGAAGAUGGAAUUAAAUCAAUGGGCAAAAUCUAUCAAGGCAUAGACUAGAGAUAAACUUGCAAGAACAUGAUUACUAAUAAGAAACUCGUCACACAGUCACAUACUUUAGCAGGGGGUAAACCAUAAAGAUAAUGAUAAUGAAUUAUAAGUUCAUGGGUAGAUAACACAGCGAUUAGAAAAUAGACUACUCCUCAUAUAUGUAGGUGAUGUCGGAUUAGCUAGAGAAUGGAUUCUAAGUUAUCUACUAACUACUAAGUCAUAAUCUACUCUAGUUAUCUACAAGAUCAUAUAUAGCAUAAAAGACUCUUCAUUCAUGUAUAAGGAACAUUGAUAAAGUAAAUCAGAACAUUGCAUGACUUACUCCACAAUACCGGUUCUGCCUGUCCUAUCAACGGAGGGUGGACUAUAUAAGAAUCAACGAAGCUGUCACUAUCGCGAACUACCACACGACCCGGCCAAUAGGAUACAUUUGCAGAUAAAUAACAUCUAAGCACCACGCUCACAUGUGAUCUAUCACCUAACUCCCUCGCGUCAAGAGCUAAGCGCUUUGCAAACUUAUACAUAAACUCAUUAUCAAUUAGAACUAUAUCAAAUAUAGAACUAGAGCAAACUAAGAACAUAAUAAUUAGAGACAUAAUGCAAUUAGAACAAUAGAAUUAGAGAAAGAUAUGAAUAAUACCAAUCUUUAUUACCGAAGAUCCGAAUCCAGAGCGUAGUGCUCUACUUCUCUAAUUGCUAUCUAAUCAAACCUCUAAACUUGAAGGAUUAGGGAGUAGCUAAUUCUAAUUCUCUGUGGGAGAGAGAUCUAAACCCUAACUUUGAUGGCUACCUCUGAAUAAUGAUUUCUCCUCUCUUCCUCCAGGGGCCAGGGGGUCUGGUUUUAUAGUCCCCUCAAGUGAACGUGAGCCAUUGGAUCAAACCGACAUAGAUUGUAUGGUUUAGAUUGAUCCUUUAGGUCGGUGGAGCGUAGUCCCGAAGCAGAGUCCUGGUUGGCCUCCAACCCUGGGCGGGCGCCCAAGGGAGGUGGGCGGGCGCCCAGCCCCCGAGCCCGAAUCGCUUCCCGUUCGUUCCCGUGGCUUCUGGAUUCUUCUAGAUUGAGGAAAAUUGCACGGCACGUAAUUAUCUCGUUGUAAACAUGACAUGUGGGCCUUCUCUCCAUAUUCUCUGAUAAACCCCUGCAGAAAUAGAUAAACACCAAAGCUCGUGGAAUUCUGUCAGAUAAAACCCUAAUUCUAGAUGUUUAUUUCAUAUUGAUCCUUUUUCAUGUUUAUUUGAUUAUUAAUUUUAGUACUUAAGGACCGUCAACAAACUCCCCCAAGCUUACCCUUUGCUCGUCCCUGAGCAAACAGCUAAACUCAGACGGAUCAGGAGUUGCUUCGAUGUUUUCUUUCCUGACAGGCACACAUGCUUUUAUACAAAAUUCUUCCAGAUUAGAGUGAAGUGUUAUGGAGUUUAGUACCUACACUUAAAUCUUAAGUAAUCGAAAGACAAAAUAGUUAAGUCAAGCACUAUCCCUCCUGUCUAUACUUCACCUUCGUUCUAGAGUUUUUCAUAAGUUUUCAAAAUAAAACUCAGAGUUCCCAGCAAUGAUUCUCUCAAGUCUCUCUAUAUGUGGUUUUUGUGGAUCCUUACCAUGAUAUCACUUGCCUAUAGCUAAUAGAAUAUUUAAGUGGAGCUCAUAGGAGUGAAAAACAACUCAUACAUAUGUUGUCUAAUCGAGCCAUGGAUCCAAAGGAACUCAGCAUAUAAUUAAAUCAAGAUGUGCAUGUGUGGUGGAGUAAAUGAUAGUGAUGAUGAAAAUACAUAAGUGAUAAUAAAACUUAGUUCUCAUUGCUCCUUAUAUUGCUAUCUCUCCUCCUCUUUGAUCUUUGCUUUGGGAGAACAUGGGCUAUCUUUUUCUCUCUUUUUUUCAGGUGGGUAGUAGAUACCCCUAAUUCUACUGUCGGACACUUGUCCAUUUUUUCCGCUCAAGUGGGCAUCUUUGUACCCCUAAUUCUACUUCGGACACUUGUCCAUUUUUUCCUCUCGUCUCACUCUUUUUCUUUCUUUUCCGAGGUUCCGGGCACUUGCCCCUUUUUAUUUCCUCGUAUAUUUUUGCAUAACCCAUGCCUCUUCUGCAUUGUAUCUUUUUAGAGAGAGAAUAACAAUACUUGGGACAGUGAGUGAUAAUAUUUUUUUAGCAAUUUUAAUGAUUGAUGAUGAAUGCUGUGGUAGAUGUGUGCAAGUGAAUAUCUUAAUUUAACCACAUGAAAAGCUCCUAAGGGUCAACACAGCUCGAUCAAACUCAAUGUAAAUAUAGUAAAAGAUGUUAUAGCAAGUAUGGCUGUGGUAGGUAGUUUUGUUAUGCUAGGAACUCAUCAUGUGAUUUGUAAGUUCUCAAAAUAAAUCUCCAGAACUUAGUGUAGUAGGAACAAGAUAAACAGUAGCUCAACUUUAUAUCAUGCCUUUCUCUUACCUAGACUUUAGUUUUAUGCUUCCCAAAGAUAGUAAGUUUCAGUUUUAGUAAUUCCUGGAAGAAUUCUAAUAUAAAAGCUAGGUACUUGUAAGUAAGCAAACAGAGCAACUGUUCAUCAUUUCCAUCAUGCAUAUUUUUGGUCUUUUUUUAUUUUUUCUAGAGAUUAAACUUAGCAGAAAAAUAAAGCACACUUAUCUACACACUCUUUUUAUUUUGUUUUCAUGUUUAUAAAGUGCAGUAAAUUAAAGCAAGAAAAUAUUUAUUUGGUUUUCUAAGUUUUUCCUUUUAAGAUAAAAUAAAUACUAAGACAGAAUAGAAUAAAUAAGAAGAGCAAAUAAAAACUUACUUGAUAAAUUAGGAGGAACUCCCCCAAGCUGGAUGUUGCCGUCGGUCUUACCCGAUGUUCCAGAACCGCAUCAUGGUUGUGAUGUUGUCGUUCAUUGUUGUUGUAUCUUGUCUCAGCUCUUGCACUGCAGCGGCAUGGUCCUGGUUCCAUUUUUGUUGCUCUUCCAGGAGUCUUCCAUGUUCUGCUUGCGUGUUCUGGAUGUCGAGGAGGGUGUUGUCGGUACGAGUGAAGAAAGCACCGGCCUCUUGAUAGUAGUCAUUCGUGAAAGCGUAGGAGGCGUCGGAGUAUCGUCCUGCAUCAAAUUAGGGCGGAGGUCUGGAUCCUGAAGCUCCAUAUGGAUCAGUGGAGUACCUGCCCGUAUGAAAAGGCGGGUUUGUCCACUGGUGAUCUUGGCUCUCCGGCCAUGUCUCCUCUGUUGGCUCUUGUGGUUGCGCAUGACGAGCCCAUAGGUCUCGAAGGACUCGAGGGUUGUAAUCGCAAUAGUGCAAGUGCGCUGCUUCUUCUGGUCCAGGGUCAGCUCCAUACCAAGUGCGUUCUCGGUGAGUGGUUAUCCUUUCAGAUGCCACUCGCUGUGGAGUUCUCUAGUUCACUGGUGUUGCUGCAAUCUCAAUCAAAAUCUUUUGCACAGAGUAGAGGCCAAGGUUCGGGUUAGGUAACCGAAUCUUGCCUUUAUCAUCAUAUAGCAUAUACAUUAUAUUUCCCUCUUUCUUUAACAUCCGAGCUUGUCUAAAUGUGUCAUAGCCAUGAUAAAUUCUUAACUCUUCUAUGAAGUCCAACGAUGAGUUUUCUAGUAAAUGAAGAUUAGUGGCUAGACGAGUGAUAAGUGAAGUACAUCCUACUGGUCCCUGAAGACUAGGUAUACUAAGCCAAUGAGAAACUAAUAGUGUAACAGGUGAAGUGGGUACUUUACUAAUAGCAGCAUAUAAAAGUUGUAAAUCUCCUACUCUUACUUUCCUAAUAUCGUCGCGAUAGAAAAGAUUGUACCCAAGCCAUUUGUGGAACAUCCUAAGAGUGGCGUGUUCCAUGUCACUGGUUCGGGCUUGACUGUAAAAAUUAUCUCUAGAUAUUUCUCUCCAAAACUGGUGUCUCUCAAAAUUGGGUAAAUCGGAGUCAAUGUUCAGGAUGCAUCUUGAAGAGAAACCAAGAUGGUCGCUCAGCUCUCUCCAAGAUAACAUAAUUUCCUGUUUGAACAUCCGAAAAACAAUUCCCCCCUCAUAGUAUUAUAAAGUGCAAAGAAAUUCGAGGGUGAGAAGACGAGAACCCAGCUCAGUUAUAUUCCAAAAAUUUGUCCAACCCAUCAUCUGAAAAAUUAAGUCAAAUUCAGUGUCCAUACCUGUUUCUCGUAGUAGGAUUGGAUCGAUAGUAGGGGUGUGAAUGAAAUCUUUAUUCUUCAAUUGCUGAUAAACUUCCUUCUCUCUUCGGGUCUUCAGUCCAAGGUCUCCUAUCUUGAGAAGGACCUUGACUUGCUGGCCUGAUGAAGAUGAUGGAGCUUGUGUGGGUGUCGGGUCGACGCUCAUCUCUGAUGGCUGUGAGGAGUGUCGGGCGGAACUCCUUGUACCAAUGUUCUUGAGAGCCUUCCUUGCAUUCUUCACCUUUUUAAACAUCCUGCAAACAAAAGUUGGCAAAAACACAACUGGUGGAAAAUGUGAGAUAAAAUGUUAGUGGUCAGCUGUCCGGAGUGUCAGUAGUCCAGGGGUUAAUCGUUCAAGACAAGUUUCUAUUUUGGUACAGCCUCCCCCUAAACAACUUUUACUUCCGUUUAGACAACGAGAUCACUACUUACUAGGUGAUAAUCACUCUCUCAAAAGAAUUCUAACCUUCCCUUCCACUCUCCACUUUCUCUCUACUCUCUUCUCUUCACUACAAGAGCUCCUUCUCGGGAAACUGAAACUUGUGUGGUUUUCUGGAGUGUUUGUAUGAAGAGAAGGGGAGCUGGAGGUGGCCUUUUAUAGGCUGAGCAGGGGACAGGGCGGGCGCCCAAGGUAGGUGGGCGGGCGCCCACCCCUGGUGUCCAUCCUGGGUGUGCCUCCUCCACUUGCUUCCUUGCUUUGAUCUCACGCAGAAUAAUAUUGUGUUGGUAGUGGUUGGACGGUGGAAAGAUGUCAGGUGAGUGGAAACUUAUUGGUGGAUGAAAUUAUGUGAUGGGAUGUAUGUGAGAUGAAGUGUAUGACAUGUGGGACCCAAAGAGUGUGGGUCAUGCUUCUAGAAGAUCAAUAUAAAUAAACAUAAUGCAGGAAAAAAUUAUGAGAGUUGAAACUUAAUGAAAAUGAUAUUGGAAAAUAUUUUUGUGCCUCCACAAUAAUUAAUAAAUAUGGGUUGUUACACACCUCGAAUAUUAUUUAUAUGGGGCUUUUUGAUUAUUAUAAUUAUGCUAUGAAUGUACGACUAAUGCAAGAAUUAAUUAUGCAAGAAUUUAAAUAUGAGAAAGUUAAUAAUGCAGAUAAAUACCGAUUUACCUCCCGGUGAGGGUUUGGGAUUUUUAGGUCCCCCAAGCUGGACCUCCAAAUCUUUUAAUCUUUUGAGUUACCUUCCUCCGGAGAUGGUGUCUCCAGUGGUUCUUCAUGAACUUCCUUCACUGUAGAGUCUCUCUCUGGUCUGGGUUUGAAUGUGAAGUGUUCUUCUUGACCGUUUAUGUUGAACUUGAUUUCUCCGUUCCCGACAUCAAUGUGGGCAUUAGCAGUGCUCAGAAAUGGCCUUCCAAGGAUGAUGGACACUUUCGAGUCAGGACUAAUGUCCAGUACUACGAAGUCUACUGGCACAAGGAAAUCUCUGAUCUUGACUGGAAUGUUCUCGGCGAUGCCCAACGGGUGUCGAACCAAUUGAUCCGCUAGUUGUAGGCACAUUGAUGUUGGUUCUAAGGUUGCAUGAUCAAGCUUUUUUGUAGACUGAUGCUGGCAUCACACUGACACUUGCUCCGAGAUCACAAAGUGCAUUGUUGAAGUGUUGGUUUCCGAUUGAGCAAUCAAUAGUGGGGCAUCCGGGGUCUUCCUUCUUCUUUGGUGGUUUAUUGAGGAUGGCCGCACUACAUUCUUCUGUCAGCUUGAUAACCUCAGUGGUGGGCAGUGGUCUCUUCUUGUUAAGAAUAUCUCUGAUGUACUUUGCAUAUGUAGGUACCUGUAUGGCAUCGAGCAGAGGUAUGUUGACAUAUAAUUUCUGAAUGACCUCUACAAACUUACCAAACUGCUCAUCCGACUGCAGUCCUCUGUUUCUUCUGGGAAAUGGCAAAUAGUUGGUGUCGUAAAAAUCUUUCCUCAUUUCUCCAGUUCUUGGUGGUUGUAGCAGAUCUUCUGCUUCAACUGGGCUUUCUUCUUCUAUCACUGUUGGUUGCACUGGUGCUGAUGUUCUUUGUUUCUCUUUUGGGUAUGGUGGAUCUCUGGUAGCUUUACCUCCUCUAGUAGUUAUAUUCUUUACCUGCUCAAUGUUAGUAGCAACAGGCAGUGCAGCAGCUAUCUUUAUUAAUUUAAGCUCUACCCUUUUAUUAAGAGUGUUUUGCUCAUCAAAGGCAGUUAGUAGAAAAUCUAUUUUAUUAUGUAUAUCUUUUAGAGAUGAUUCAUUUGUAUCUAGCCUUUGUUUAACUUCAUCAUUAAUUUUGGUUUGUUGAGCAAUUAUCUCUUUUAAUGAAAGUUGCUUGAAAGUAUUACCUGAAUUCGUACCUUUGCUAUUGGGUUGACUCGAAGUUGGUUGAUAUUUGUAUGCUGUCUCAAUGGCCCUUUGAUCUUCUUUGAACUUGGCCCUCUGGUCAAUCCAAUGGAGCAAAUUUUCCAUCUUAGUUGAUAAUGCAUUUACUUCUUCUGGUAUUUCUUCAGUUUGAUGACAUUGUUGAGCUUUAUCUUGGAACCAGCUUUGGUUUUCUGCUAUCUUAUCCAAAAGUAUCUCUGCUUUUCCAGUUGUAAGCUCCAAGAAUGAUCCUUUAGCAGAUGCAUCUAGGCACUCACGAGCCUUCUAGGUUAAUCCAUGGUAGAAGGUCUGCAUAAGUAACCAUGUGGCCAUUCCAUGGUGAGGACAAUCUGAUGUGUAUCCUUGAAAACGCUCCCAUGCUUCUGAAAUGGCUUCUAUCUUCUGCUGUUGGAAACUGACAAUAUUUCCUCUUAAGGCAGUUGUUUUGCCUAUAGGGAAAAACUUUGAUAGAAAGGCAUCUGACAAGUUCGUCCAGUUGUUGAUGUUAUCUUGAUGAGUGUAGAACCACUUCCUCGCUUUCCCUUCUAGUGAGAAUGGAAAAAGGCGAAGCAGUAUGACGUCUUUGUCAACUCCAUUGAUGUGGAUUGUGCUUCCAAUCUCUAAGAAAUUCUGCAAGUGUGCACUGGCAUCUUCAUGUGCCUUUCCACUGAAUUGUGUAGCUUGUACCAAAUUGAUGAGGCUUGACUUGAGCUCAAACUCGGGUAUUCCUUCUUCUACUGCAAAUCUUGGACCAGUUGGAAUGUUGUCAAGACUUGGAGCAGAGAAUUCUUGCAAGGUCUUUUGUGUCAUAGCUUCAGCAAUUGGUAGCUAGCUUCUUCUUCUCUUGAUUGCUUUGGUUCUGAUGACGAAGAGUUGAAUGUAUCCAAAGUCAAUCCUGUUAUACCCUGUAUAAAAAUAUAAACAUAGAAAAACAACAGGGUGAACCUGCCAAAGCAGCGGUGCCUUGUUAUGAUUUCUCACUUAGUAGCUGUUUUUAUGCAAUUAUUUCUCUAUAGUCUAGUCUAAUAUUUUAUAUGAAUAACCUUGAUUGAUUUUCUGGCUUUCCUUAAUAUUACCCUUUUGUUCCCUUUUAUGACUUAUUCCUGAGACUCGUAUAAUUCCUAUAAUUCCCCGGCAACGGCGCCAGAAAUGCUUGUUGACACUAGCUAACACCACUUAGAUACUAGGUUGUCAUCCCUAGCAUGGCGCCAGAGUGUACAAAGGUAUUUAUAAAUGUAAAGGCUCUCUAGAAAAUAAUCUAUUCUAUCCGCAAGCGCACAGAUAAAACACCUCAUUGUAGCAUUUCACCAGGAUAAGUAUUCCAGGUAUCGUCAUUUAUAAUUUUGCUUAAGGGAUCUCAAGAAGAUGGAAUUAAAUCAAUGGGCAAAAUCUAUCAAGGCAUAGACUAGAGAUAAACUUGCAAGAACAUGAUUACUAAUAAGAAACUCGUCACACAGUCACAUACUUUAGCAGGGGGUAAACUAUAAAGAUAAUGAUAAUGAAUUAUAAGUUCAUGGGUAGAUAACACAGCGAUUAGAAAAUAGACUACUCCUCAUAUAUGUAGGUGAUGUCGGAUUAGCUAGAGAAUGGAUUCUAAGUUAUCUACUAACUACUAAGUCAUAAUCUACUCUAGUUAUCUACAAGAUCAUAUAUAGCAUAAAAGACUCUUCAUUCAUGUAUAAGGAACAUUGAUAAAGUAAAUCAGAACAUUGCAUGACUUACUCCACAAUACCGGUUCUGCCUGUCCUAUCAACGGAGGGUGGACUAUAUAAGAAUCAACGAAGCUGUCACUAUCGCGAACUACCACACGACCCGGCCAAUAGGAUACAUUUGCAGAUAAAUAACAUCUAAGCACCACGCUCACAUGUGAUCUAUCACCUAACUCCCUCGCGUCAAGAGCUAAGCGCUUUGCAAACUUAUACAUAAACUCAUUAUCAAUUAGAACUAUAUCAAAUAUAGAACUAGAGCAAACUAAGAACAUAAUAAUUAGAGACAUAAUGCAAUUAGAAUAAUAGAAUUAGAGAAAGAUAUGAAUAAUACCAAUCUUUAUUACCGAAGAUCCGAAUCCAGAGCGUAGUGCUCUACUUCUCUAAUUGCUAUCUAAUCAAACCUCUAAACUUGAAGGAUUAGGGAGUAGCUAAUUCUAAUUCUCUGUGGGAGAGAGAUCUAAACCCUAACUUUGAUGGCUACCUCUGAAUAAUGAUUUCUCCUCUCUUCCUCCAGGGGCCAGGGGGUCUGGUUUUAUAGUCCCCUCAAGUGAACGUGAGCCACUGGAUCAAACCGACAUAGAUUGUAUGGUUUAGAUUGAUCCUUUAGGUCGGUGGAGUGUAGUCCCGAAGCAGAGUCCUGGUUGGCCUCCAACCCUGGGCGGGCGCCCAAGGGGGGUGGGCGGGCGCCCAGCCCCCGAGCCCGAAUCGCUUCCCGUUCGUUCCCGUGGCUUCUGGAUUCUUCUAGAUUGAGGAAAAUUGCGCGGCACGUAAUUAUCUCGUUGUAAACAUGACAUGUGGGCCUUCUCUCCAUAUUCUCUGAUAAACCCCUGCAGAAAUAGAUAAACACCAAAGCUUGUGGAAUUCUGUCAGAUAAAACCCUAAUUCUAGAUGUUUGUUUCAUAUUGAUCCUUUUUCAUGUUUAUUUGAUUAUUAAUUUUAGUACUUAAGGACCGUCAACAGGAACUAAGCUGAACUUCAGUUCUGCUUAUCAUCCCCAGACUGAUGGACAGACAGAGAGAAUUAAUCAAAUCUUGGAGGACAUGCUGAGAGCUUGUGCUCUGCAGUAUGGCGCUAGUUGGGACAAAAGUCUCUCGUAUGCCGAGUUUUCCUAUAACAACAGCUACCAGAAGAGUCUCAAGAUGGCACCAUUUGAAGCUUUGUAUGGUCGCAAGUGUAGGACACCUUUAUUCUGGAAUCAAACUGGUGAAACACAGGUGUUUGGACCAGACGUCCUAAGAAGUGCUGAAGAACAAGUGAGGAUGAUUAGGGACAAUCUAAGAGUGGCACAGUCGAGGCAGAAAAGUUAUGCCGACACCCGAAGAAGGGACUUGAGCUUAAAAGAGGGUGAUUUUGUAUAUCUGAAGGUAUCUCCAAUGAGGAGUGUGAAGAGAUUCAAUGUGAAGGGUAAGCUAGCACCGAGAUACGUCGGACCUUUCAGGAUUCUUGCAAGACGUGGAGAAGUAGCCUAUCAGUUAGAACUUCCUGAGAGCUUGUCAAGCGUACAUGAUGUAUUCCAUGUUUCUCAGUUGAAGAAAUGUUUGCGGGUACCCGAAGAGCAGAUUCCUAUAGAAGAGUUGACCAUUAAAGAAGAUCUCACAUAUGAAGAGUACCCGAUAAAGAUCUUGGAAACUGCAGACAAGUACAAUGGAACCGUUAUACCAAAGAUGAAGCCACCUAGGAAAGAGAAGAGGAUUUGAGAAAGUCGUAUCCACAACUAUUCGAGUAAGCAUCACCUAAUCUCGAGGACGAGAUUAUUUUUAAGGGGGUAGAAUUGUAACACCCAAAAAUUUUAUUUAUUUAAAAUAGAUGAAUUGAAUUUAAAUGAAUUUAUUUUGUGAGCAUUCUCAAUAUAGGAAAAUAAAUAAAUUUGGAGAAUUAAAAUUAAAUAUAAGUUUAGGCUAAUAUUUUGUUGCAUACAUGCUGGUGCACUUCUUUUAUGUGAUCAGUGGUUUGAAGAAAGGAAUUUGAAUUCAAAAAUUCAUUUGGAAAAGAGUUUGAAAAAAAAUUAUUUGGAAAAUAAAAAGGAAAAAGCCUUUCUCUCCCCCUUCCUUCUUUCGGCCAUUUUGGCCCAAAACCCCGCGGCCCAGCCGGCUCCCCCUCUCUCUCUGGCGGCUGACGGGUGGGGCCCACCCGUCAGGUCUUUCCCCUUCCCCAACCGAAGCCCCACGCCCACGAUCCCCUCCAUUCCCCCCCCCCCCCCCCGCGCCUCGGUCUUUUAGUUGGAUAGCUCCCGUGCGCCCGAGUUUUCUUUCCCCCUCCCCAUUUUCUUCUCUCCCUGCCUCUGCUCCUCUCGACUUGCGCAGAAAACCGCCGUCGCCGGAGUUUCCGCCCGCCGCGCGAAGCCGCCGUCCCGAGUCGUUUUCGCUGCGAUUUGGCGUCGUGGUGAGCUUCAUCUUCCUUCCCGCUCCCUCCCCGUCCCGUUGCCGAGCAAAUCAUGGCCCGGAGUCCAGUUCCGUGAGCUCGGACGGGACGUUCAUGGCGUCGCCGUGAACCUUCUCGAAAACCGCCUCCUCGACCGCGUUUAUGGGUUGGAAUGGACUCGCAUCGCUCUCCUCUUUCUCCCAGUUCAAACGGAAUAAAAAACCAUGCACCGUAGGUCCCUAUUCUCUUGCUCCGGCGAGCUUCCUUGCGGCCGGCCACGGUGGCCACCAUGUUCUUGACGGAGCUGGCCUGAGCGCCGUCCCCUUCCUCUCUCUCUCGUUUUUUAUUUUUUUUCUUUUAAUCCACCGCGUUCAUCUGUGAUCCAACGGCCUACAAUGCCCCGUACCCCUUCGAGGGCAUUUUUGUUAAAGAGCCCCCUAGGAAUCCCAUUUUUGCGCACGCAGUCGUCGGCCAGAGGAAUUUCCAGGAUUUAAUUCAUUUAUUUAAAUUCGUUUAGACUCUGCUUUAUUUAUAGAAUUGCCACCGCAUUAUUUUAGCUAUAAAAUCGCCGUUUGAACUCCGAAUCGAUCCGUUCAAGUUGCGUUAGUUUCGUAAUUUCGUAAGCUUCGCGUUCGUACCACUAUUGUUUAGGUUUACCACUAUUAGAUUUCCUAGUUAAUUACAAGUCCAUAGAUUGUAGUUGAAAUCACGUUAAAAGCGUAACUUUCGCGUCGUAAGUCCGUUUUUCGUGAAUUUCGCGUUGACGUGAUCGUAGCAGCACGUAGAUGAUUUUGGAAAACUUUUAUUUAAUUUAUUUACUGCUGGUGUACCGUUCUAACUUUAGAAAUUGUUCUCUUGCAUGUUUGUCUUGGUAUGCGUGAUGAUUGUGAUGUGUUGGUCGAGCCCAGACGGUGAGUAGUAUUUCGGGAGUCCGGAGCUCUUUGGGGAC
rnacentral:lncRNA from 1 species